AACGAACGCUGGCGGCGUGCCUAACACAUGCAAGUCGUGCGAGAAUGCCUCCUUCGGGAGGCUAGUAAAGCGGCGCACGGGUGAGUAACACGUAGGUAACCUGCCUCGGAGUCCGGAAUAACCAGCCGAAAGGUUGGCUAAUGCCGGAUAAGACCACGACCACCACGGUGGUUGCGGUCAAAGACGGCCUCUACAUGUAAGCUGUUGCUCUGAGAUGGGCUUGCGGCCCAUUAGCGAGUUGGGGGGGUAAUGGCCUACCAAGGCAAUGAUGGGUAGCUGGUCUGAGAGGAUGGCCAGCCACACUGGAACUGAGAUACGGUCCAGACUCCUACGGGAGGCAGCAGUGGGGAAUCUUGCGCAAUGGGGGAAACCCUGACGCAGCGACGCCGCGUGGGUGAUGAAGGCCUUCGGGUCGUAAAGCCCUGUCGUAGGGAAAGAACCGGUGAACGGCUAAUACCCGUUAACCCUGACGGUACCCUACAAGAAAGCACCGGCUAACUCCGUGCCAGCAGCCGCAGUAAUAC
rnacentral:rRNA from 1 species